rnacentral:misc_RNA from 1 species
UGGUGAACCAGCGGAGGGAUCAUUACCGAGUUGAACAACUCCCAAACCCCCUGCGAACCUUACCCCACGCGUUGCCUCGGCGGGACCGCCCCGGCGCCCCAGCGGCCCGGACCAAGGCGCCCGCCGGAGGACCCCCAGACUCUCCUGUCGCAGUGGCAUUUCUCUCCGAGUCAAGAAACAAGCAAAUGAAUCAAAACUUUCAACAACGGAUCUCUUGGUUCUGG